rnacentral:tRNA from 1 species
GCAUGAGUGCCAGAAUAUGAUGGGUUGGUUUUAAGCGCCAAAUAUGGAUUGAUUCCCUUGUGUA